UACCAGCACCCCGAGUGGUCGGGACGUUUAUUGGGCCUAAAGCAUCCGUAGCCGGUUCUACAAGUCUUCCGUUAAAUCCAACUGCUUAACAGGUGGGCUGCGGAAGAUACUAUAGAGCUAGGAGGCGGGAGAGGCAAGCGGUACUCGAUGGGUAGGGGUAAAAUCCGUUGAUCCAUUGAAGACCACCAGUGGCGAAGGCGGCUUGCCAGAACGCGAUCGACGGUGAGGGAUGAAAGCUGGGGGAGCAAACCGG
rnacentral:rRNA from 1 species